AUUCUACAGUAAAGUGGUUGGUCAUAGCGUAUUUACUAUUGACAACGCGAGUGAUAUUUUUAUUGUGGAAAUUGUGGUGAUUUAGUUAGCAUACAGAGUUGUCACAACAAAACAAGUUUACCGCAAUACACGAAGGUUUUUUUUCGCUUUACAAAAAGUUGAAGGAAAAUGAAGUUCUACUGCGUUACAUGUCAAGUACAUACAGAAACUGAUGAAAUGAGUUUGAAAAUUGUUCACCUGGUGAACAACAGAAUAAGUAUUCAAGGGACAUGUUUACAAUGCUUCAAAACGAAGUCAGUAAUUAUUGGGAAAAUGAUAUACUGCGUAAAAUGUAAAGCAAAGACGGGCACCGUUGAAGAGUCAUUUGCAAUUGUUCCCCUGGCGAACGGGAGAACCAGUGUUCAAGGGAUGUGUGUACAGUGCAGACAAACUAAGUCUGAAAUUCUUGGUUAGGAAUUUUCGAUUCACAGAAGACUUUUCACUUUUCAUUUCUAGAUGUCUUCUUCAACUUUAUGUAAAUGACAAUAUAAUUACAUGUACAUUGUAUCUAUCAACUUCACAAAGGAGGUGUCCUAUAAUAUAAAUUGUUUAGGGAAUAGAUAUAAAUUCUGAGUGCAUUGUUGUAGAAUAAUGCACGGUUUAAAUUCAAAUGCGUAGUAAUAUAAUCACGAAGGCCAACAGGCCUGAGUGAUUAAUUACAAAGCAUUUGAACGAAAAACGUGCAUUAUUAUACACUAAUGCACGAAGAAUUAAUAUCUAUUUCCAUUCUAACACGUCAAGAAAAAAUAUAAAUAUUAUUAUAAAGUUGGACUUUAUGUUUGGUGUUAAAUUUGUUUUCGCCUCAGAGUUUCCAAUAGAAACGUUCUUUAAAGGCCGUUCCAGUGGGUUGAAAAAAACUACCGUUAAAUCUACCGUGUAUAGAAACAUUUUGAGAAAAACGAAUUUUGAAAACGUUGAUAAAACUUUGUUUGUUUAUUUUAUUUCAGUCUAUAAUUUUCCAAGCGAAAUACAAAUUAUUAAAAGUGAAAUAAAUGUAAGACUUAA